UCGAUAACGAACGAGACCUUGACCUGCUAAAUAGCCCCAUUCACUUUGGUGGAUGGCUGGCUUCUUAGAGGGACUUUUGGCUCAAGCCAAUGGAAGUACGAGGCAAAAACAGGUCUGUGAUGCCCUUAGAUGUUCUGGGCCGCACGCGCGCUACACUGACAGAGCCAGCGAGUACAUCACCUUGGCCGAGAGGUCUGGGUAAUCUUGUUAAACUCUGUCGUGCUGGGGAUAGAGCUUUGCAAUUAUUGCUCUUCAACGAGGAAUGCCUAGUAAGCGCAAGUCAUCAGCUUGCGUUGAUUACGUCCCUGCCCUUUGUACACACCGCCCGUCGCUAAUACCGAUUGAAUGGAUC
rnacentral:rRNA from 1 species